rnacentral:rRNA from 1 species
AACGAACGCUGGCGGCAGGCUUAACACAUGCAAGUCGAACGCUCCGCAAGGGGAGUGGCAGACGGGUAAGUAACGCGUGGGAACCUUCCUAUUGGUUUGGAAUAGCUCAGGGAAACUUGGGGUAAUACCGGAUAAGCCCUACGGGGGAAAGAUUUAUCGCCAAUAGAUGGGCCCGCGUCUGAUUAGCUAGUUGGUGAGGU